CUCUCUUUCUCUCUCUCUCCAGAUAACCUCCGCCACCGCCCCUUGAUUCGGCGAAGUCGCCGGUGCCAGCCACCCUCCUCAUUCUUCCUCACCUCUCUGAUCUCUCACUUACUACCUCCCUCGUUCCCCUCAUCUCCUCCCUCACCAAAAAUUCCCAAAUCAGCAACCCUAGGUCCUCUUUCCUUCGAUUUCCGGCGAGGUUACCGCCGGAACCGCCCCCUCUGCUUCAGCCAACAGCAGCGGUCAGCCGGACCACCGCCAUCGCCGCCUCCCUCAUCCUCUCUGACAUCGCCGCCCCACACCCUCUGUUUCAGCCGGAGAGCAGCAGCAGUAGCUAUCCGCCACCGCCACGCCGAACUCUUCCCUCUCUGGACUGAUAGCCACGGUUCUACACUCUCUCUCCGGCGAGAUGCCGCCGCCAUCCACCGGCGUCGCGGCCACCACGCCACCGCCGACAGUAGCCCUCUGGUCCUCUCUCCUCCAGUCUUCGACUCAUAACCCCAGCAGUAGCCUCUCAAAAUUCACACAACAAAACACAAAUCGGUUCUUGCAUUACAAAGCUUUGAUUACCUAAUUACAGAAAAUGCAUGUAUAUAUGCGUUCAUACAUUGUAUAAGCAAAGUCAAUUUAUAUGCCAUACUAUGCUUGCUUUCUGUUUCAAGAUUCCUUGUUAAUGUGAUGGUUCUUUAUGAAAUAGAUUACUGAUUAUGGCAUGAAUAUGUGAGUUGGUUUACCUCUGUGAAAGUAAAUUUCGGUUUCUUGAAUUUAUGGCCGAGAAUGGGCUGUGGAAGAACUGUUGAUUUUGUAGAUUAUAAAUACUUGUAGGUAUUCUUGAGCGAUUGUGAGAGUUCUUGAAAUUGAGAUUUGAGAGAUAGAAGUUUGAUGGGGAAUGGGAUGAACUGAAUUGAAUUGGUUGGAAGGAGAAUUAAUUCUCGUUGGUGAUUAGCUAAUUUGUGGUUGAAGAAGUUGAAUGAGUGGGGUGUUAAAUAGGUGAAAACGAGCUGAGUGGAUGCAUCUUCUUCUUUCAAUAAAAACAAAGUAAGAGUGAAAUAUCUGGUUGGUUCACCA
rnacentral:lncRNA from 1 species